rnacentral:tRNA from 1 species
GGACGUGGCUCAGUGGUAUAGCACUUGCCUAGCAUACACGGGGCCUGGGUUCCAUCCCCAGUACUCCA